GCAGCCCGCACUCGCAGCCCUGCCUCCCUCCUCGAUCUCUUUCCCUCAGCCGCCACAAACCCUAGGUCCCUUUCCUACGAUCCCAUGGUCGUUUCCCCUGCUCCAUCCGACCUCUGUGGCGGCCGAGGGCCCGAUCCGCGCCGACGCCGUGCCGGCGGCGGCCGGGGCGGGCGCGGAGAGGGCCGAUGCGGCGGCCGCGGGCAGGGCGGCGACGGCCAAGGCCAUGGAGGACGAGGUUGCAUGGCGAGAAGCGGCCGAUCCACCUGCGUGCCGUCACUGCAGGGAUAGCGAAGGUCAGCGACAAAGGUCAUCGUGGGGGCACACCGUCGUCUCCCUCUCCCCUGGUGGCACCUCCCUAUGUGAGCUCCUCCCUAUCUUCCUGCUCCUUCACCUCCUCCUUCUCAUCCCAUGUAUUUUAGAUUUGUUUGUUCAAUUUUACUCCGUAGUGCUUGCACGCCCAUGAAUCUGGAAGUAACCCGCAAAAAAAAGAAUCUGGAAGUAGACAUUUUAGUGUUUUUCCUAUUCCAUUAUCCGCUUUUUUUGUUGCUAAGAGUACAAUUUUUUUGCAUGGGGGAUUAAUUAGGCUGGUUAUAUAGAAUGAUAAUUGCCUCAAAUGAUUCAGAUUAAGAGUUCUGCUCAAGAUAUAUGUGCUAGAGAACUAAUUAUUUUGUACUUGACCGCUCUGCAUAUGUUGAGGUUUGUCCUGGAAUGGUUGGCUUUGGGACUUUUGGUGGCAGUAUAUUCUUAUGCCGACGACAAGCAUUUGCAGGACGAUUAUGUGGUUAUCUGUGGCAGUGUGCUCCUAUCCUCCCCGCCUCCAUACUUCAUUUUUGGAAAACUAAUGAUUUUGAUUCAUGGAUGUCAUAGGUACCAUUGAUUGUGCCUCGGCUUCGUAGCCGAUCUUCGAUCGUCCAUGGCAUCAACACACAAAUUGAUAAUGCAAACCUCAGAUCAAUACCUCCCCUAUUUGAUUUCUGUGGCAGAGUGCUAAUAACUUUUAUUGUUUGUGUUUUUGGAUAAGAUUUGCAUGGUAUUUCUAUCAUUGGUUGAUUGCUUGGAUACUUUCACUAUAGUAGUUAUUCUGCCUCAUCUAUCACUAUCUGCGGGCUUGCUUUGAUUAUGUGUCUCCCAACUUUCUGUAUCUAAAAAGCAGCCUGUAAAUGUAGCUUGAAUAAAAAUGGAAAUUUCAGAUGACAUGUACAUGUAAGGAUUCAGUUUUGUGCUAUCGAUGAUAGUCCUCUACAACUACCAGUGUGUCCUGUUGUUGAAGCUUUUGUUGAUCUGAUGAUGUAGCCUCUAUUUAAUGUUCUAUAGCCUCCUGAUUAGUUAUAUCCUAUCAGUAGCACCAUGCCUCCCUAUCGCGCUAUUUGUCAAAAAACCGGAACAACCAGUAGCGAGGUGCCUCCCUGUAUGUUGUUCAUCGAAAGCUUGUUCAAUUUUACUCCAUAGUGCUUGCACGCCCAUGAAUCUGGAAGUAACCCGCAAAAAAAUCUGGAAGUAGACAUUUUAGUGUUUUUCCUAUUCCAUUAUCUGCUUUUUUUGUUGCUAAGAGUACGAUUUUUUUGCGUGGGGGAUUAAUUAGGCUGGUUAUAUAGAAUGAUAAUUGCCUCAAAUGAUUCAGAUUAAGAGUUCUGCUCAAGAUAUAUGUGCUAGAGAACUAACAAAAGGUGUACAAUAACUUCUAAUUUUAUUCCACUGACGAGAUGUGUCAAAUUUAUUGUACAAUAUGUUCUAAAUUUAUUCCACUGACAAGAUGUGUCAAAUUUAUUCAAUGUUUUUUGUAUUGUGGUUGAUGCAGUCCCAGGACUAACAUUGGAAUAUUCAUGUGUUAUAGGCCAAUAUAGAUUUCUCAAUGUAUCAUUUUGGCACUGUUUGACUGCUGAACAAUAUUGCCAUGCUGAUCAUUUCUCAUGUCUUUGCAAUUUUUGGUCUUUAUUUUGAUUUCGUUGUGUGGUGUGCUUUUAUCUAGGUGAGUUGAGUUGCUGCUUGGUUGGAGAUGUUGAUGUCAUUCGAGACGCCCGCUGGAUUCACCCUUUUCAAGGUUCUAAAUAAGGGCAAGCUCGGCAAGGUCGAGUGGUACAGGUGUGAUCUUCAUGGAGCUAGCCAUCAUUGGAUUUGGUAAUACAUAAUCACUUAUUCAGAGAGCCCAAGGUGAGAAGAGACGAGCAUCUAGAACACCACCACCUACUAAUCAGUGAGCUACUAUCUGUCUUUGAAUGAGUUACUUAACAAGAGAAGGCAGGAGUUUCCUACCUUUCUUCUGCAAAUCUGGAAUGCCUUUAUGGCAUGAUCAUGUGAAAAAAGUACCUUGAUGCAGUAAUGGAUUUGAUUAUCACUGGUUACUCUGUUUUCACGAAUUACUAUCCAACUGUAAGUCUAUUCUAUACCCUAAGGCCCAUGUUAAUCUGAUAGAAGAUUAAGCUAUUUAAUUUUAACUAAAAAGGAUAAUAUUCUUUCAGUUGCUUGAAUCUGUCCAGACCUGAAAAAUACUUAUACUUUGAAAGCUUGAUAUAUGAGUAUGUAAUUUUACAGGUAUGUAAAUAGCCGACAAUGUUAUUGUUCAAAUGUACUCGAGCCAGGUUUUCGGUGUUUCAUUGCAACCAAAAGAAUUGGUAAUAUUGUUUUGAUGAAAACAUGGUCGCACUUGUCAGUGUUGUAUAAUAGGAUUUUUAAUUAGUGGCAUAGGAAAUUUUUCCCUAAGAUCCACUAUGAAGUUGAUUGAAAGUCCAUUUUCCCUAAGAUCCACUAUGACAAUGAAAAAGAUUUCUGAAAACUGUGUCACCAUAAAUGUUCCAUCAUUGUCCAUAGCAGUCCCAUGCCAUAUUAAUUUUAGAAGAAUAAAUUCUUAUUCAGAUGUUCAUUGUGUUUUUAUGUACUGCUAUAUCUAAAAAAGCAAGUUUCAGCUAAAAGCAGAGCCGUGGUUAAGAUACUCUUUGCACCUAGGAUAUGUGAUAUGUUCAGAUUGCUAGCUUUAAACUAUAGUUUUAGAAAAUGUGGUGCCCUCGCUUAUUUUUGUAAUGCAUGAACUUAGGGUAAAUGUUUUAUGUGUAAUGCGUGCUUGAUUUCUUUUUUAUUCUGGUGGAUUUUGAUUUUCUCCACCAUGCUUCUCUCCAAUGGGAUGAGUCUGUUUUCGCAGCAGCGGGUGAUGCAUGUGCUUAUUGUUGGCUGUUGGUAUGUGGUAUGCAUUUUCUCAUUGUUGGCUGUUUGUUGUUUGCUAUGAUUAAGAUACAUUGGCUUGUACAUUUUAUAUCAGUUUCGUUUUCAACACCACCUAUCACUGUAUAAUUUGUCGUUAAUAGAGUAGUUUCUCCUUUAUUGCAUUGCAUAAUGCUAGCAAGCUACAUUGCACCAUAAACAAAAAUAAUCCUCUUCCAAGGUUAAACCUGUUUUUUCCUUCUAGCAAAGAUCUUCUCUGGAAAAGAUCAAUUCUGUUAGCCUAUAAUAUUGCAGUUCUUUCUUAUCCUUCAAAGAUUUAAAAUUAUUUUCUGUUUCCACUCCAUUCGUUCUCAUGGAUUCUGAAAAAAAUAUUUUUGUUUUUUGUUGAUUAAUAAUAUUGAUUUCCGUUUCAGUUUUGUGGUGGUCGAUGCAUGUAGAAUAUACGGACUUUCCUAGAAUGGCGCCUUUUAGUUGUUUUGCUUGAUGUUAGUUCAUUGAUGAGAACACCUAUGUACAUGAUUGUUGCAUGCAUGAUAUCCUACUAUAUACUGAGAAAUAUUUUUCUUUUUCGGACAUUGUUUUCUAAAUCCUAUCAACAUAUUACCUGAUAUGGUCUUUAAAGUUUCUAUUUUAUAGCGAGCUUUGCACUGGUCAACUUGAGUAUGGUAUGGUUAUCUUUUCUUUUGUUUACAGGUGAUGUGUGGUAGAAGCUGUUCUCACAGGAAGACUAUUGUGUUGUGUAUAAACCAUGUUCUACGAUUCACUUCUGUUAUGCAUAUUUACUUUCCAGUUUUAGGACUAAUAUCCAUCCAUUGUAAUGAAUUUGGUUGUAUGGGCAUUACCUAUUUGACUUAGGCUUGCUUCGUCACAUAUAAACUGUUUUUCUUUCCCCCACUGCUUGUAUGACCUAAAACUAUCAUGUAUAUGAGGCAAGUUAUUAGCAAUGUUUCACAUUUUCUUACUUGUGAUACUGUGCUUGCCUAAUCAGGUGUUCCAAGACCCAAAUCAACAGAAAAACAACACAUACAACACUUUUUUAUUUUGAAUUUUGGUUACCCUUAUACAAGCCCCUGUCCAUUUUGUUUAUAUAGUGGUUAGAAUAGUAACCAUAUGUGCUUGCUCAAUACUAAUAAAUGGAAUAUUUUCAAAGCACGUAUGGUGUGGGUCUGUUCGCAAUUUGGCGCAACAGGAGAUUACUGAAAAAUACACAUUUUUUCAACAUGACAUGAUCUUGAAAUGGGACUUUACUACCAAAUUAAAAUAUGUUGGUAUACCUCAUUAUAGAUGACAAGUCUCUUUUUUAUUAAAGGGGGUUAAUUUUUUUAUCAUAUAUGCUUUCCCGCUACUAAAACAACUAAAACGGAAUUUCUUUUCAUGCUGAACAUGGAUUUAGUGGGUCUCUACACCAUUUUGUUACCCAGCUGACGAACUGAGAAAGAAAGGAAGGGGAUAGGCAGUCUUUGCUGGCUCCGCCCUCUGCCGCUUCAUAUUCAGCUCCUCACAGGCCACAGGCAUCGCUCUACG